GAUGAACGCUGGCGGCGUGCCUUAUACAUGCAAGUCGAGUGGGUUUAGACCCACGGCAAACGGGUGAGUAACACGUAGGUCCUUUCCUUGUCACAGGAAUAACCCUCCGAAAGUAGGGCUAAUACCUGAUGUGAUCGCAAGAUUAAAGGGUAUCCGCAAGGAUUACCGGACAAGAAGAGGCCUGCGGCCUAUCAGCUAGUUGGCGGGGUAAAUGCCCACCAAGGCUAUGACGGGUAGCUGGUCUUAUGAGGAUGAGCAGUCACAUGGGCACUGAGACACGGGUCCGAAUCCUACGGGAGGCAGCAGUAGGGAAUUUUGCGCAAUGGGCGAGAGCCUGACGGAGCGACGCCGCGUGCGGGAUGAAGGCCUUCGGGUCGUAAACCGCGUUUAUAAGGGACGAACUUUGACGGUACCUUAUGAAUAAGAGGCUGCUAACUCUGUG
rnacentral:rRNA from 1 species